GCUUGCUUCUUGGGGUUGUAGGACACUCUAUACGGAGUUACAAAAGAAAGUUAUAAAUGAAGCGGUCUGGAAAGGCCCGCCAAAGACGGUAACAGCCCGGUAGUUGAAAUGGCUUUCCCUCCAGAGUGGAUCCUGAGUACGGCGGAACACGUGAAAUUCCGUCGGAAUCCGGGAGGACCAUCUCCCAAGGCUAAAUACUCCCUAGUGACCGAUAGUGAACCAGUACCGUGAGGGAAAGGUGAAAAGCACCCCGGAAGGGGAGUGAAACAGUUCCUGAAACCGUGUGCCUACAAGUAGUUAGAGCCCGUUAAUGGGUGAUAGCGUGCCUUUUGUAGAAUGAACCGGCGAGUUACGAUUUGUUGCAAGGUUAAGCGGAAAAAGCGGAGCCGUAGCGAAAGCGAGUCUGAAUAGGGCGCAUAAGUAACAGGUCGUAGACCCGAAACCAGGUGAUCUACCCAUGUCCAGGAUGAAGGUAAGGUAAUACUUACUGGAGGUCCGAACCCACGCACGUUGAAAAGUGCGGGGAUGAGGUGUGGGUAGCGGAGAAAUUCCAAUCGAACUUGGAGAUAGCUGGUUCUCUCCGAAAUAGCUUUAGGGCUAGCCUCGAGGUAAAGAGUCAUGGAGGUAGAGCACUGUUUGGACUAGGGGCCCUUCUCGGGUUACCGAAUUCAGAUAAACUCCGAAUGCCAUGUACUUAUACUCGGGAGUCAGACUGCGAGUGAUAAGAUCCGUAGUCGAAAGGGAAACAGCCCAGACCACCAGUUAAGGUCCCCAAAUAUAUGUUAAGUGGAAAAGGAUGUGGGGUUGCUUAGACAACCAGGAUGUUGGCUUAGAAGCAGCCACCAUUGAAAGAGUGCGUAAUAGCUCACUGGUCGAGUGACCCCGCGCCGAAAAUGUACCGGGGCUAAACAUAUUACCGAAACUGUGGAUGAACCUCUUUAGAGGUUCGUGGUAGGAGAGCGUUCUAAGGGCGGUGAAGUCAGACCGGAAGGACUGGUGGAGCGCUUAGAAGUGAGAAUGCCGGUAUGAGUAGCGAAAGAAGGGUGAGAAUCCCUUCCACCGAAUAUCUAAGGUUUCCUGAGGAAGGCUCGUCCGCUCAGGGUUAGUCGGGACCUAAGCCGAGGCCGAUAGGCGUAGGCGAUGGACAACAGGUAGAGAUUCCUGUACCAGUGCUAAUUGUUUAACCGAUGGGGUGACACAGAAGGAUAGGGAAUCGCACGAAUGGAAAUGUGCGUCCAAGCAGUGAGUGUGAGAAGUAGGCAAAUCCGCUUCUCGCGAAGCAUGAGCUGUGAUGGGGAAGGAAAUUAAGUACGGAAGUUCCUGAUUUCACGCUGUCAAGAAAAGCCUCUAGGAAGAGUAGUACUGCCCGUACCGCAAACCGACACAGGUAGAUGAGGAGAGAAUCCUAAGGUGAGCGAGAGAACUCUCGUUAAGGAACUCGGCAAAAUGACCCCGUAACUUCGGGAGAAGGGGUGCUCUAUUAGGGUGCAAGCCCGAGAGAGCCGCAGUGAAUAGGCCCAGGCGACUGUUUAGCAAAAACACAGGUCUCUGCAAAACCGUAAGGUGACGUAUAGGGGCUGACGCCUGCCCGGUGCUGGAAGGUUAAGAGGAGUGCUUAGCUUCGGCGAAGGUACGAAUUGAAGCCCCAGUAAACGGCGGCCGUAACUAUAACGGUCCUAAGGUAGCGAAAUUCCUUGUCGGGUAAGUUCCGACCCGCACGAAAGGCGCAACGAUCUGGGCACUGUCUCAACGAGAGACUCGGUGAAAUUAUAGUACCUGUGAAGAUGCAGGUUACCCGCGACAGGACGGAAAGACCCCGUGGAGCUUUACUGCAACCUGAUAUGGAAUGUUUGUACCGCUUGUACAGGAUAGGUAGGAGCCGAAGAGACGUGUGCGCUAGCAUACGAGGAGGCAAUGGUGGGAUACUACCCUGGCUGUAUGACCAUUCUAACCCGCCACGCUUAGCGCGUGGGGAGACAGUGUCAGGUGGGCAGUUUGACUGGGGCGGUCGCCUCCUAAAGAGUAACGGAGGCGCCCAAAGGUUCCCUCAGAAUGGAUGGAAAUCAUUCG
rnacentral:rRNA from 1 species